GACGUAGGAGGCGAGCGUUAUCCGGAUUCACUGGGCGUAAAGCGCAUGUAGGCGGAUGUCUAAGUCGUGUGUUAAAGCCCCUGGCUCAACUGGGGGAGGUCAUGCGAGACUGGAUGACUUGAGGGCAACAGAGGCACGUGGAACUCCCGGUGUAGCGGUGGAAUGCGUAGAGAUCAGGAAGAACACCCGUGGCGAAGGCGGCGUGCUGGGUUGCAACUGACGCUGAGAUGCGAAAGUGUGGGGAGCAAACGGG
rnacentral:rRNA from 1 species